UAUAGAGGGGGCAAGCGUUGUUCGGAAUUACUGGGCGUAAAGGGCGCGUAGGCGGCCUGUUAAGUCGAACGUGAAAUCCCCGGGCUCAACCCGGGAACUGCGUCCGAUACUGGCAGGCUUGAAUCCGGGAGAGGGAUGCGGAAUUCCAGGUGUAGCGGUGAAAUGCGUAGAUAUCUGGAGGAACACCGGUGGCGAAGGCGGCAUCCUGGACCGGCAUUGACGCUGAGGCGCGAAAGCCAGGGGAGCAAACGGG
rnacentral:rRNA from 1 species